rnacentral:tRNA from 1 species
GCCUUUGUGGUGUAACGGUUAGCACACACGGUUAGUAUUCGAGAGGUCCAAGUUCGAGUCUUGGCGAAAGUA